CUUGAAUAUUAUUUUUUAAGGAAAUAUUUAAUACAUUUAAUGAAUAUUAUUUUUUUAAAAUUAUGUUAAAUUACACAGUACAAUCUAUUUUAGUACUCUAUUACAAUAAUCUAGUCUAUUUUGGUAUUUACAAGUUACCAUUUUAAUCUAUUCUAAUGUUUUUAAUUCUUAUAAUGGGAUUUUUUUUUUAUUUUUUAUUUGGUUAGGAUCAAAAUAGUUGGCUGAAAAAUCUAUAGCAUCAUUACACACAAACAAUAAAAAAAAUCCAGCAUGAAAACAUAGAUGAAUGCUUUUGAUCUUGAACCUUAAAACAUAUAAUAUAUUAUGAAAUAUGAAUAUGAAAUUUGACAAUUUAUUGAUUGUGUAGUAUGUUAGACUUUUUUACAUUGUACAUUUGAUUAUUUAUUAACGCCUCACUUCGCUUGGGUGAGCGCCUAGGGCAAUGGAGGAUCUUCUCGCCUUAAGGGUGCCUAGUGCUUUUGACAAUACCAUCGGUGAAUAUUGAUCACAUCAGUUGAAGAAGAGAACAAUGUUCAUGGGAUUAGGGGAGGAUGUUCAAGAUGAUGGCAUCUUGCUUCAUUUACCAUUGCCCAGCCAUUGCAUGGUGGAUGUCUUACCUGAUACAGAUGGUGCUCCUUUGCCUCAUCUAAACUGGGCUAGUUGUGACAUCUAUGCAUUUAUCCAUUUCAGUCUAAAUAUUUCAUCCAGACAGCACUGUUGUAUAUUGGUCUCAGUGAGCUCGGACUUCUUGAAAAACUUUCUGAAAGCAUGCGCAGAUCUCUGGGAAGAGUUCCUUUGUGGUCAAUUGCAGACUUGUUUAGUAAAUCAAAAUUGCUUAAACAUGGGCAAAUAAAUGUUGCUGGUGAACUGGGAUUCUGUCGAAGUAUUGCCACUUCAGUUGGUGGUGCUAUUUUGGGGUAUGGAAAAGAAUUGACUACAAAUUCAAUUCAGAAGCAAAUUGUUGAUGCACUUGACUUGGGUGACAGAGGCAGAGCGUCCAAUCUGCUUUCAGAUCUUGGCCAUGCAAACAAGUCAUUAAGAGCUGCUGACUUUGUUGAUAUUUUUAGAUACUGUGCAGGAUCACCUGAUCCAUUGUUUGCCAUGGAGAUAUGGAACGUAAUGCUGGAAAAACAGAUUCCCCUCAAUAACAUAUCCUGCCUGUUUAUGACUCAAGCCCUUUGUAAAGGUGGUUAUUUGAAGGAGGCAUUGAAUCUAAUUAAUGUUAUUGGAGAAAAAUAUGGCACGAGUCCUAGUCUCGCUGUUUAUAAUAGUUUCUUGGGAGCAUGUGCAAAAUUGUGCAAUAUAGUUUAUGCCGAUCAAUGUUUGGAUUUGAUGGAGCGCAAAACAAUGGGGAAGAAUGAAGUUACAUACACAGAGCUUCUCAAGCUUGCAGUCUGUAAGCAAAACCUGUCUGCAGUCCAUGAGAUAUGGAAGGAUUAUAUCAAAUACUAUAGUCCAAGUAUUUCUUCUUUGAAAAAGUUUAUAUGGUCAUUUACAAGGUUAAGAGAUAUAAGUUCUGCAUACCAAGCAUUGCAACAUAUGGUAGCUUUGGCCCUUCAAGGAAACACUUCUAUUACUAGCACUGCCGAAGGAAGGUUGUAUUCUUCAAGAUUGGACAUUCCUAUACCUUCUAAUGUUGAAUUAGGCCUUCAGAGAUUUGACAUGAAGGAGUUUGAUGAGCAGUUUGAUCCCGUUAAAGUAGAUCCCUGUACUAGGAGCAUAGAAUGGAGCACUAUUUCUAAAAUCGGAAAAGAAGUUGACAGUUCUGGAAUAGUUGGAUUGGAUAAAACUAAAUGUGUUCCUGCCAUGAAGGUUCUGAGACCAUCUUUUACCAAUGUAAUAUAUGCAUGUGCACAAAACCAAAAUUAUAGAUUAGCAGAGCAGUUAAUGAUUCAGAUGCAAAAUCUUGGGGUGCAGCCUUCAAGCCAUACAUAUGAUGGUUUUAUUAGAGCUGUUAUUUCUGGGAGAGGUAUAAGUGAAGGCAUAAAAGUGUUAGAAAUAAUGCAAGAGAGGAAUUUGAAGCCAAACAACUCGACUCUUGCGACUCUUUCAAUUGCUUGUUGUCAAGUCUUAGAACUUGAUUUGGCAGAGAAUUUACUGGAUCAAAUUUCAGAUUAUCAAUAUCAACAUCCUUAUAAUAGAUUUCUUGAAGCAUGUGAUAUAAUGGAGCAACCAGAGCGUGCCAUUCGGAUGUGGGCUAAAAUGAAACAACUAAAAAUCCAGCCAAAUAUCUGGACAUAUGAGCUGUUAUUUUCAUUAUUUGGUAAUGUGAAUGCUCCAUAUGAAGAUGGCAAUAUGUUGUCACGUGCAGACUCUGCUAAAAGAAUUAAAGCUAUUGAGAUGGAUAUGGCGAAAAAUGGUGUUCAGCACAGCCAUUUAUCAAUGAAGAAUUUGCUGAAAGCUUUUGGAGCGGAAGGGAUGGUAAGAGAGCUUAUAGAGUAUUUACACAGUGCAGAAUACCUUUUCUAUCGCAGUAACACUUAUUUGGGAACGCCUAUCUAUAAUACAGUCUUGCAUUCACUUGUUGAGGCUAAUGAAAGUCACUUGGCAAUUGGAAUAUUCAAAAAUAUGAAAUCAAACGGUUUCUGGCUAAAUGCUGCGACUUAUACUAUAAUGAUUGAUUGUUGUUGCAACAUUAAGUGUUACAAAUCUGCAUCUGCUCUACUCUCCUUGAUGUUGCGUGAUGGGUUUUAUCCACAGGCAGCGACUUAUACUGCUCUCAUAAAGAAUCUGUUGGAUGAUGGAAAUUUUGAUGAGGCCUUGAAACUUUUGGAUCUAGGGAGCUCAGAAGGGAUUCAGCCCGAUGUAUUGUUAUAUAAUAGUAUUCUCAAAAAAGCAUAUGAAAAGGGAAGGAUCGAUGUUAUUGAGCUUGUUGCCGAGCAGAUGCACCGUGAGAAAAUAGAACCUGACCCAUCAACCUGCCACUAUGUGUUCUCUGCAUAUGCGGAACGUCAUUUUCAUAACACAGCAAUGGAAGCUUUGCAAGUUUUGAGUAUGCGGAUGAUUUGUCAAGAGGACCAUGCUUUUGAUGAAAAGAAAGCUGAAUUCGAGGACGAUUACAUUCUUUCUGAAGAUGAGGAAGCUGAGUCACGAAUACUUGAAUUUUUUAGAGGGCCUGAUGAGAAUAUAGCUUUUGCUCUCUUGAAUUUAAGAUAUUGUGCCAUUUUGGGGUUCCCAAUUUCUUGGUCACCAAAUGAAACAUUAUGGGCAAGAAGACUUUCUACUAACUAUGAUACCAUAAAGAGAAUCACACACUAGAUAUUAGCCACUGAAGUUCUUUUCAGAUCAACUUGGCCAUUAGCAUUUACCCUUGAUCAUGUUCACGGUGAGGGUUGCAAUUUUGUCUCGUGAGCAAUGAUAUAACUGCUUCAUAUUUAAUAGUGAUGGGCUCUGUGCAGCACAAUAUUUACAAAUGUAGAUCUUUUUACUUUAUUAUUUUUUUUCGAGAAUCUGAGGUUUUAUAGCUUGACAAUGUUGUAGAAGAGCCGGAUUUGGUUUGAAUCCUUUGUAGCUGUCGGAGGUUGUCUUGUGUUGGUUAGGACUUAGGAGGUCUAGUUUUAUUUGUUAUUCUUGUAAUUUGAUUGAAGGAAUUAUUUGUUUUUAAUAAAAGAUAUAGAAUAUUUCAGAAG
rnacentral:misc_RNA from 1 species